GGUUUAGUAUUCAAUAAUGAUGUUAAAUUGCAAAUUUAAAGGUAAAAUUAAGUUUUCUAAACUU
rnacentral:tRNA from 1 species